UGCAGUCGAGCGCCCCGCAAGGGGAGCGGCAGACGGGUGAGUAACGCGUGGGAAUCUACCGUGCCCUACGGAAUAGCUCCGGGAAACUGGAAUUAAUACCGUAUACGCCCUACGGGGGAAAGAUUUAUCGGGGUAUGAUGAGCCCGCGUUGGAUUAGCUAGUUGGUGGGGUAAAGGCCUACCAAGGCGACGAUCCAUAGCUGGUCUGAGAGGAUGAUCAGCCACAUUGGGACUGAGACACGGCCCAAACUCCUACGGGAGGCAGCAGUGGGGAAUAUUGGACAAUGGGCGCAAGCCUGAUCCAGCCAUGCCGCGUGAGUGAUGAAGGUCUUAGGAUUGUAAAGCUCUUUCACCGGUGAAGAUAAUGACGGUAACCGGAGAAGAAGCCCCGGCUAACUUCGUGCCAGCAGCCGCGGUAAUACGAAGGGGGCUAGCGUUGUUCGGAAUUACUGGGCGUAAAGCGCAUGUAGGCGGAUAUUUAAGUCAGGGGUGAAAUCCCAGAGCUCAACUCUGGAACUGCCUUUGAUACUGGGUAUCUUGAGUAUGGAAGA
rnacentral:rRNA from 1 species